UACUUCAUACGUAUCAAAGGAAACUUAGAAGCAAUCCAAACGGUACAAACAAUUCCUUCAUUUCCGCUAGUCUUUUGUUUAAUUUAUUUAUAUAAGGUAAAUAUAUCAGUGAUCAUUAGUAUAUAAUUUAUUAUAAAAUUUCAAUUCUAUAUUAUGGAAAUGAAACUGAUUUUCGUGACCAGACCUACCUUAAUUCGUAUUUCGUUGCUUCUCGGAGAAGAAACUUUAUAUCCCUUAAAAGAGCGUAACCAGAUUUACCUUUGAUGAUUGCACAAUUUAAAUGAACAACUGAACGUCUGUCCUAAGUCUUAACUAAUCUAUGUAUUUUAAAUUAUUUCAAAGAUAUAGGAAACUAAAUGAAGGCGAAAGCAGUUCCAAUAGCUCAGAAGUAUUGCAGAGGAGCUGAAUUGACCGAUAUCUGAAUACUAAUUACUUCCAAAGAAGAUAAAAGGAUUUUAACUAUGCUCAACGGGAUUAUUAAACAUUCGACAUCCGAAAUGAAACACACUUACGUUGGUACUUUCUGUUCUUCCUUACGUCCGAGAAUAAGUCAUACUUGGAUAGUACAAAUGUCCGACCAUCAACCAGAUUAGGAAAUGAAAACGUUUAUCACUUUUCUAGUCCUAUAUUUAAAUGGUAAAUCGAUCCAUGCUGUGUUUAUGGAAUGAUUUUAUGAUGGCGGCCGGAGUAUUUCUACUGAUAAGUAGAACAUUAGGUCUCUUAACUGAAACUAUGAUAAAGUGCAUAUAAAUCAAGAACCUAUAUAUUUUUCUACUAGUCUAAUGAAGAAUAUUAGAUAUGGAAAGCAAGACGCUCGAUGAAAGAGAUGCAUAAUAACAUAUGAAUAAAAAUGUCAAUAUUGUUUGAAAGGAUUUUGCGUUACGUAUCGUUCUUCAUUUAAUGUUUCAGAUCGUCAAAUUGGCGGAGGAAGCUGAUGCUGCUCACGAAUUUAUUACAAAUCUUCCUAGUGAUAUGAAACCCAAGUUGGUGAGAGAGACACUUAAUUAUGCAGUGUAUGGAAACAACUUGUUGCUAUUGCUAGGGUGUUUCUAUAGCAACCAUUUACUUUAAUAUUGGAUUUUAACAAACGAGCAUAUUGUAUUGUGAAAACAAAAGAGUGGUUCAAGAAGCAGUUGUAAAAUCUAACCAAAGAAUGAACAUUGUUAACCAUUGCUUAUGGAUUAAAUGCUCUUAAAUCUUCCGAUUUUGAUGUACUGCAACGCGAUGUUGCUAUAGAGGUUUUUGUUGCAGUUCAUCGGCCGUGAUGACACUCUGAAUUAUAGCUCGAAUAUAAAAAAAGAAAGGAAAGAAAAAUACCAUAUGUCUUAUGCGCGGACAGCGAAUUACAUAGUAUCGAUCGGCAGAAUUGUAUUAUCUAAGAUCAUCAUCGAUUCUUAAAUCAUUUUUAGUACUUCUUGGUGGUACUAUGAUUUAUCGUUUUCUCUUCAAAUAUCCUCCUUGUCUUUGUGUGAUGUCAUACUGUGUUCGUUAUAUGAUUGAGAAUAUUCAGGAAGAAGAAAAAGAAGGUGAAACAUAUGUGCUUGACGACGAAGUUUUGAAAGACCAAUGUGCCGCAGUUUUGUAAAGCUUGGAACAGUGAUACAAGAAAAUGUGAUUUUAUCAAAGGAUCCAAACGUAAACGCUUUAGCUAGAGGAUAUAUGAGAUUGUACUCGGUAAGAUUUGUCGACAGGCCGUCCGACGUUUCAAACGGUACAUGGAUCAAAGGGGAAAUAUAACUGAAGGAGAUUGAUAAAUCGAAAGACAUACCAGAUGAAACGUAGGCGAAGGCAGUUUUAAUAGCCUCUGGGAGGACAUCCGAGUGGAAGGAGUUAGAAAGAAAAAUAAAGCAUGAAUUAAAAUCUAAGAAGUAAUUGAAAUUAAAAAAAAAAUAGUUGUUACAAAAUAGCCUUAAAAAAAAAGCAAACAAAUAUAUAUUCAGAAAGUGUAUCAAAUGGUUACACUUUCAUAUUUCUUUAUGCGUGCGGUAGACGUAAACCCGAUUGUUGAUCUAUAUUUACUGUUCUCUUAAUUUUUCAGAAAUUCUCUCAAAAAUUUAUUAAUCACGGAAAAAAGUCAAGUAAAAAUAAAAUUUCAUUUCUUAAUUGAGUUCUCAAUACAUAUUUGUUUGCUUUUUUCUUUCAUUGAUGUUUACUUAUUCAUAUUUAUUUAUUUUUCUUCAAUACAACAUUGACAUCAAGAAAGUAGGAUUCAGAAGAUUUUAUUAAGAAGGAAAAAUUAUAUUAUGAAAAAACUAUCUUUCUACAAUAUUUAUAUUUAA